UUGUUAUAAUUGUGAUGAAAAAUUCCAACCAGGGCAUCGAUGUCCGAAGUUAUUUAUGAUUGAAGGUUGCCUAGAUGAAGAAGAUGGUGAUGUGAUCAUGGAGGAUAAAGCGGCAAAAGUUUUUUAUGCAACAACCCUUGAGAAUAUUGAAGGCGAAAGGGAAAAGGAGAAGUCUUAGUCCAUUGGCAAGGCCUUUCACCAUCGGAUGCAACAUGGGAAGAUAUUGAAUUCAUGAAGAAUCAGUUUCUUGAUUUUGCACUUGAGGAUAAGCGACCUCUUUUUUUUUUUUUUUUUUUUUUGAUUAAAGAAGGGCUCACUAAGCGACCUCUUUAAGUGGGAGGGAAUUUGUUACUAU
rnacentral:lncRNA from 1 species